GGACUACUCGGGUUUCUAAUCCCGUUCGCUCCCCUAGCUUUCGCACAUGAGCGUCAGUGACUUGCCAGGACGCUGCCUUCGCCUUUGGUGUUCUUCCAGAUCUCUACGCAUUUCACCGCUCCACCUGGAAUUCCGCGUCCCUCUCAAGCCCUCAAGUCCAGCAGUUUUUCAAGGCCUGUGGGAGUUAAGCCCCCACCUGUCACUCAAAACUUACUUGACCGCCUGCGUGCGCUUUACGCCCAAUAAAUCCGGACAACGCUUGCCCCCUACGUAUUACCGCGGCUGCUGGCAC
rnacentral:rRNA from 1 species